UGGGUACAGCGCUGCCGCUGCGGCCGACGCCAACGCCGGCUGCGCCGACACCGUGCUCGCCGCCGCUGCCGUCAUAGACGUGCUCAACUUCGUCCAGGUAUACAUAUACGUGAUUGACUCGUACUCGCAUCCACUUCAUUGAUACAUCAAUCGUGCUGCUGAUUAUAUAUACUUCGAUGAUAUAUAUCAAUCGUGGUGUUGAUUAGACCAACAACCAUGAGAGAUUGAGAGAGUCCACUUCCUAGAUGCAGAGCACCUGUGAAUCUUAUGAGAAAAAAACAGAGAUUUUUUUCUUCGAUUCUCCUUUUCUCUUUCUUUUUUCUUCGAUUUCUUCUGUUUUUUGUCUUCCUAAUGGCUGACGUGCCGUGGCUAGGCAUGACCGGCGGCGUGAUGCGGAUGAAGCUGGGCGACGGUGGCGCGGCCCGACGAGGGCGCGGCGAGGUCGGGCGGCGACGCGACCUUGCGGUGGCCGGCGAGGUGCGGAUGGCGGCGGGGCGUGGCCACGCGGUUGCGGCGCGGCCCUGCGGUGGCCGGCGAGCCACGGAUGGCGGCGGGGCGCGGCCACGCGGUGGCGCCGCGGCCCUACGGUGGCCGGCGAGGAGCGGCGUAGCAAGCCGAGGACGGCUCGGUGCGGCAUGGCUCGGUGGUCGGGCGCCCCCGCGGUUGGCGCGAGGCGGAUGGCCGGCGCCCUAGGCGGUCAACGACGCGAUGGUCGGCGGCGCGGCAGCCGAGCGCAUGCGUGACGGCGGCGGCCGACGUUGCCUCUCCUGCUUUUCCCCUGUUCAUUUUCUUGUUCUUCUUCGACCAGCCAAAAACGAGACGAAGACGGCAGAUAGAAGGGAGGAGACGGCAAACGUGACGGUAGUAGGACGGUUUUAAUUUUGUAAAAUUUCAACGGUAUUUUUCUGAAUAGCCAAAGUUACAGUAGCAUGGAUUAAAUUAAGAAAAAAUUAUAACCAUGCCAUUAUAAUUUUACAAAAUUUGAGAUAUGCCAUCCUGACCCACAUGUCAUUGACUC
rnacentral:lncRNA from 1 species